CAGCAGCCGCGGGAAUACGUAGGUGGCAAGCGUUGUCCGGAAUUAUUGGGCGUAAAGGGCUCGCAGGCGGUUUCUUAAGUCUGAUGUGAAAGCCCCCGGCUCAACCGGGGAGGGUCAUUGGAAACUGGGAAACUUGAGUGCAGAAGAGGAGAGUGGAAUUCCACGUGUAGCGGUGAAAUGCGUAGAGAUGUGGAGGAACACCAGUGGCGAAGGCGACUCUCUUGUCUGUAACUGACGCUGAGGAGCGAAAGCGUGGGGAGCGAACAGGAUUAGAGACCCCCGUAGUCCCUGUCUCUUAUAC
rnacentral:rRNA from 1 species